rnacentral:rRNA from 1 species
GAUGAACGCUGGCGGCGUGCCUAAUACAUGCAAGUCGAGCGAACAGAUAAGGAGCUUGCUCCUUUGACGUUAGCGGCGGACGGGUGAGUAACACGUGGGUAACCUACCUAUAAGACUGGGAUAACUUCGGGAAACCGGAGCUAAUACCGGAUAAUAUUUCGAACCGCAUGGUUCGAUAGUGAAAGAUGGUUUUGCUAUCUCUUAUAGAUGGACCCGCGCCGUAUUAGCUAGUUGGUAAGGUAACGGCUUACCAAGGCGACGAUACGUAGCCGACCUGAGAGGGUGAUCGGCCACACUGGAACUGAGACACGGUCCAGACUCCUACGGGAGGCAGCAGUAGGGAAUCUUCCGCAAUGGGCGAAAGCCUGACGGAGCAACGCCGCGUGAGUGAUGAAGGUCUUCGGAUCGUAAAACUCUGUUAUUAGGGAAGAACAUACGUGUAAGUAACUGUGCACGUCUUGACGGUACCUAAUCAGAAAGCCACGGCUAACUACGUG